CUCCUUUUCACUUUUGCUUAAAGGAGAGAAAAACAAGGCUUUUUCUCAUAAAAUAAAGGAAUUUUUUUAUUUAUUUAUAUCCAUGAAAAGAAAAAUCGAAAACUAAAACAUAGAAAAGCCGAAGAAAAAAAACCUUAUCGCGAUACAAAUCUCUCAAGCCGUACCCAAAAAUCGUCUCUACAUCUUCGACGAGAGAAGAAAGAAGAAGAAAAACCGGUUGCUGUUAUAAAUUGAAGUUAGGGGACCAUUCUGACGAAGAAUCACAAAACCAGUUUCUUUAAGAAUUAGGUGAAGGGGUUUUUUAUUGGUUCGACUGCAAUCUCUUCGCCAGGUCUUUGAAGCGAAAUUUGAAGAAUCCCUGAUGAUAUCUCCGAUUUUCGUUUUGGGGUCAUUGGUGCGUUGCUUCAUUGAAGAUAUGUCUUUUAAGGUAUAUCACUUUUCUCUUUACUUCUCUGCUUUUCAGUUUUUCAAUUCUAAGUUCUGUAUAGAGUGGUAAAGUAAGCCCGAUUGGAGAUCUUUUAUAUGUUAUUUGGCCUUCAAUUGAUUUGGAGAUCUUUAUAGACAGGCAUCACUUGAAAUUCAACCUGGUGAGUCCCCCUCAUUUGCAUUCGUUAGAUGCCCUGUGAUUCUCCUAAUUAAGGCUUUCUUACUUAUGAAAUCCGAAGGUAUUAUUACUUAUUAGAGUUUGCUUCUUCUUCGUCAUAAACUGAUGAUCAGGUAAACUGGAAUCAUCAUCUCUCUUAUAUCAUGUUCGUAGAAUGGAAUCAUCAUCUCUCUUAUAUCAUGUUCUUAUAUGCUUUUUUUCAUAUCUGUUUCCUAACAGACCGUGGAUCAUGGGUUCUCAUUAAUCUGUAGAUUGUUUAGUUAAAUGAUCAACGCAUUCAGGCUAAGUUUUAUUAGCUAUUGAUUUAUAUUUCGUAUUGUUUUUAUAUAUUGCAGGUGAUUAUACAUGGAUUAAUUCUUAGAUUUUGUUUGUUGUCAUGCUGUUUAAUUACCUAAUCUAUUUGAAUUAACGAGUUCAUUCAGUUUUCUUUCUUUUAAAAGAGUUCCAUGUAUUUGUGGGUGUAGGAUAGGCAUAGAAAGUGUGAGACAGAGCCAAAGUCUAAAAUUUUCUCCUGUAUUCUUUUUAUGUAAUCUCUCCUGAUUUUUACUCCACCGCAAAGGACCUUGAUUGACGAUGGAAGCCACGCAAAAUGGUUUGAUUACAGAAAAGAACCAUUUCAUAUAAUUGCAUCAUCCAUUGAGGAAGCAAAGUAAGAGGUUAUCAAUCAGUUAUACGUAAUACCACAACCGAAAUCUUAUGAAGUUAAUCAAGUAUUGUAACUAUCUUCUAAUAAUUAUUGAACUGAAUUGAUAUUUUUCUAUGAGUUUGUUGAUCAGGAGGGUAACAUUAACAUAAUUGGUUCAGGUGCAAUUGAUGCGGCAAAAGAUGUUAUACUUACCCCAAUCUCUAUAGAUAUACCAUGACAGCGACAAAUAUUCAAUGGCAGCAUUGACAGAUUUUUUAGGUAGCCAUGGCAUGGGUAGUGGAGUACUCCAUGAUUCCUUCUAUCUGUUGCAACUGUUGCAUCAGACCUCCGCAACAGUUUAUGUACCAAGAAACCUCUCUGGAAAGUAACAGACUGCAGAUAUGUAGGUAUGUAACUACAUAGAACAAGAGCUUGAGAAUGUAACUGUAGAGCUUCCGAAGUAUAAAAAAGAGUCUGAGGGUGGCAGAUCCGAACGAAGAACCCAAUUAUAGUAGAGCUAAAUUAUGAUCCUAGAGAGAACAGAGAUUGAAGAGUGCCAUGCGAAAAAGGAAUCAGAAAUAGUUAGGCUUAGAGUAGAAGCAAUGCAACGGGGGGUUGGUGAAGAGCUUAAGUCUGGUUAAUAUUUUCGUUACAUCCAAGGAUUAUAUGUCUGCAAAUAUGUAUCUUUUGGUUAGAAUAACAAGCAAUAGUUGGCAUAUAAAUGAUGAUGAGGAGGAAAUCCGAUAUCUAUAGAGACCGAAAACUUGCAAAGACUUCAAGGAAACAAAUGCGUGCUCACUUACAUCCCGAGGUCUCAACAGGCAUGUUUUCGUGGUUUUCAGGGACGAUUAAGCAAUCUUCCAAGAGUGUUUUGAUUCAAUAAAAGUUUUUUGCAAGUCAAGUCCAUGGCAUGGGUUCUUCGCUGGGUCAUGUCCUCACCACUACUUUUUUUGAACUUGGGUGUAACUGAGGCUGCUAGACAGAUGGAAAACAAGAAGGUAUGAGACAAUUCCAAUGGUAGUUUCACUUCACAAAUAUUCUCAUUUGUUGCCUAUCUAAUGAUUAAUUACCAUUUACGAAAUCCGAACCUCAAAUUUUGACAAAUGACAUGUGAAGAAAAGCAAGAUGUGGUGACAAGAUGUGCCUCUGUAAGAAUAUUUAGUUGAAACAUGAUAUGGAGUUGGCAUUUUGCAAUAACCCUUCGGACAAUCCUUAUCCAACAUUGUACAAGCUAGCAGCUGACAAAUUUCACUAAUGGUGAGGUGGGUGAUCUCUGCACUUUUUUUUUCAACUCAAUUUGCUCAAUCCCUCCUUCAGUCCUCUUUCUUUCGGCCACCAAUGGUUUUUAAGUGGAAAGACAAACAACAAACCCUUCUCACUGAAAUCAUGUCAUAUCUGCAUGAGGCGAGAAAGAAUAUUGCUCAUUGAUCUCGAGCCUAGCUACACUUUAGAGUGUGUAUGUUAUUCUUUUUCUUACUUUCUUUUGUUUUCGUGAACAUACAUUCUUUCUAAUACAUCUUAGUUCAGUUAAGGCAUGGGUGUUUGUGAACUGAAAUUUGUACUCAGAACAACCCUGAGUACUCCCUUUGUCGAUGGUGUUGUGGUGAUGUGAGUUUUGCUUAAUUCAGGUCAUGCGCUUAUAUAUUUAAUAACUUUUAUUCA